rnacentral:rRNA from 1 species
AGAGUUUGAUCCUGGCUCAGAUUGAACGCUGGCGGUAUGCUUAACACAUGCAAGUCGAACGGAAACGAAACUAGCUUGCUAGUAGGCGUCGAGUGGCGGACGGGUGAGUAACGCGUAGGAAUCUGCCUGAUAGUGGGGGAUAGCCCGAAGAAAUUCGGAUUAAUACCGCAUAAUCUAUUCGUAGUAAAGUGGGGGACUUUCGAGCCUCACGCUAUCAGAUGAGCCUGCGUAAGAUUAGCUUGUUGGUAGGGUAAAAGCCUACCAAGGCAACGAUCUUUAGCUGGUCUGAGAGGAUGAUCAGCCACAUCGGGACUGAGACACGGCCCGAACUCCUACGGGAGGCAGCAGUGGGGAAUAUUGGACAAUGGGGGCAACCCUGAUCCAGCAAUACCGCGUGUGUGAAGAAGGCCCGAGGGUUGUAAAGCACUUUCAAUUGUGAAGAAAAGUUAGCGGUUAAUAACCGUUGACCUUGACGUUAACUAUAGAAGAAGCACCGGCUAACUCCGUGCCAGCAGCCGCGGUAAUACGGAGGGUGCAAGCGUUAAUCGGAAUUACUGGGCGUAAAGCGUGCGUAGGCGGUUUAUUAAGUCAGAUGUGAAAGCCCCGGGCUUAACCUGGGAACUGCAUUUGAAACUGGUCAACUAGAGUAUGGUAGAGGAAAGUGGAAUUUCUGGUGUAGCGGUGAAAUGCGUAGAUAUCAGAAGGAACAUCAAUGGCGAAGGCAGCUUUCUGGACCAAUACUGACGCUGAGGUACGAAAGCGUGGGUAGCAAACAGGAUUAGAUACCCUGGUAGUCCACGCCGUAAACGAUGAUAACUAGCCGUUGGGGGGAUUUACCCCUUAGUGGCGAAGCUAACGCGUUAAGUUAUCCGCCUGGGGAGUACGGCCGCAAGGCUAAAACUCAAAGGAAUUGACGGGGACCCGCACAAGCGGUGGAGCAUGUGGUUUAAUUCGAUGCAACGCGAAGAACCUUACCUGGUCUUGACAUCCUGCGAACUUUCUAGAAAUAGAUUGGUGCCUUCGGGAACGCAGUGACAGGUGCUGCAUGGCUGUCGUCAGCUCGUGUCGUGAGAUGUUGGGUUAAGUCCCGUAACGAGCGCAACCCCUAUCCUUAUUUGCCAGCACAUUAUGGUGGGAACUAUAAGGAGACUGCCGGUGAUAAACCGGAGGAAGGCGGGGACGACGUCAAGUCAUCAUGGCCCUUACGACCAGGGCUACACACGUGCUACAAUGGGAAGGACAAAGAGCCGCGAAGCCGCGAGGUGUAGCUAAUCUCAUAAAUCUUUUCGUAGUCCGGAUUGGAGUCUGCAACUCGACUCCAUGAAGUCGGAAUCGCUAGUAAUCGUAGAUCAGAAUGCUACGGUGAAUACGUUCCCGGGUCUUGUACACACCGCCCGUCAUACCAUGGGAGUGGGUUGCACCAGAAGUGACUAGUCUAACUUAGUGAGGACGGUCACCACGGUGUGAUUCAUGACUGGGGUAAAGUCGUAACAAGGUAACC